rnacentral:rRNA from 1 species
UACGGGGGGGACACGCGUUGUUCGGAUUUACUGGGCGUAAAGGGCGCGUAGGCGGACCGUCAAGUCGGGUGUGAAAACCGGUGGCUCAACUGCCGGCCUGCAUUCGAUACUGCCGGUCUUGAGUACAGGAGAGGAAAGUGGAAUUCCAGGUGUAGCGGUGAAAUGCGUAGAUAUCUGGAAGAACACCAGUAGCGAAGGCGGCUUUCCGGCCUGAUACUGACGCUAAAGCGCGAAGGCUAGGGGAGCAAACAGG